AACGUAGGACGCAAGCGUUAUCCGGAGUUACUGGGCGUAAAGCGCGAGCAGGCGGCUCGACAAGUUCGAUGUGAAAGCGCCCGGCUCAACCGGGCGAGGCCAUUGGAAACUAUCGAGCUGGAGGGCAGUAGAGGCAGGCGGAAUUCCGGGUGGAGUGGUGAAAUGCGUAGAGAUCCGGAGGAACACCAGAGGCGAAGGCGCUGCUCUGGGCCGGUACUGACGCUGAGGAGCGAAAGCGUGGGAGCGAACGG
rnacentral:rRNA from 1 species